rnacentral:rRNA from 1 species
CCUACGGGUGGCAGCAGUGAGGAAUAUUGGUCAAUGGACGAGAGUCUGAACCAGCCAAGUAGCGUGAAGGAUGACUGCCCUAUGGGUUGUAAACUUCUUUUAUAUGGGAAUAAAAUGUUCCACGUGUGGGAUUUUGUAUGUACCAUAUGAAUAAGGAUCGGCUAACUCCGUGCCAGCAGCCGCGGUAAUACGGAGGAUCCGAGCGUUAUCCGGAUUUAUUGGGUUUAAAGGGAGCGUAGGUGGAUUGUUAAGUCAGUUGUGAAAGUUUGCGGCUCAACCGUAAAAUUGCAGUUGAAACUGGCAGUCUUGAGUACAGUAGAGGUGGGCGGAAUUCGUGGUGUAGCGGUGAAAUGCUUAGAUAUCACGAAGGACUCCGAUUGCGAAGGCAGUUCACUGGACUGCAACUGACACUGAGGCUCGAAAGUGUGGGUAUCAAACAGGAUUAGAUACCCGAGUAGUC